rnacentral:lncRNA from 1 species
GCCUAUUAUUCUUCUUCCUUGCCUUUAAUAGAAGGAUGUUCAUCCAUUAAAGUCUCUACGGAUGGCCUCAUUAGCUGGUAUGUGAAAAAUUUAAUACCUAUAUUUUUUAGAUGUGAUAUUUCACAAAUCUCAUCUUGGAUAUUUUGAUUUUUCUUCUAUUCUUUUAUGCCUCCUAUUUAAUCGCAUAUGUCCUAUUUAAUU